rnacentral:piRNA from 1 species
UGGCAACUGUGGAGCAAUGAAGGCCGAGUC